CUCUGUUCUAAGCAGUGUACUUGGUUCACUCAUUUAACCCUCCUACCGCUCUGCCUGGCAGGUACUGUUAUCACUCCAGUCUCAUAAAUGAGAAAAGAAAUGGGAGAUGCUGGAAGUUAAGUUGUUUCUUCAAAUCGCUCAGCUAGCAGUGCACUCUUUAAUUUGGGCAGCAUAGGCCCGGUAUAAGGCAGAGGUUUGAGCACUCUGAGAAAAGGGAGCAUAGACAUCACGGGAUGCUGAGCAGGAUUCAAAUCUCAGCCUUCUCGCUUGCUGGCUCUGUGACCUGGCACCAGUUCCUGCACCUCCUGGAACCUUGGUCUCCUCAUCGAUGAAGAAAGUGGGAUCUUGCUACCUGGUAUAGAUGUUGUGAAGAGUAGACAAAUGAAGCGUGUGAAGCACUUAGCCCACAGGGAACACUCAAAGACUAUCGGCUGCCCUCAUCCAGCCAGGAUCUGCACUCUCACCUCCCAGCACACCCUGGAAGAGGAGCCACGCAUCAUCAACCCAGGACUGGCCGGAAAUAAUGGGUACCCGGCAGCCCUCCGGGCUCCGUUUGUUCUGAAGUUGUUGCAACGCCAUAGCCAGAUUUUG